rnacentral:rRNA from 1 species
UCAUGGCUCAGGAUGAACGCUAGCUACAGGCUUAACACAUGCAAGUCGAGGGGCAGCAUGGUCUUAGCUUGCUAAGGCCGAUGGCGACCGGCGCACGGGUGAGUAACACGUAUCCAACCUGCCGUCUACUCUUGGACAGCCUUCUGAAAGGAAGAUUAAUACAAGAUGGCAUCAUGAGUCCACAUGUUCACAUGAUUAAAGGUAUUCCGGUAGACGAUGGGGAUGCGUUCCAUUAGAUAGUAGGCGGGGUAACGGCCCACCUAGUCUUCGAUGGAUAGGGGUUCUGAGAGGAAGGUCCCCCACAUUGGAACUGAGACACGGUCCAAACUCCUACGGGAGGCAGCAGUGAGGAAUAUUGGUCAAUGGGCGAGAGCCUGAACCAGCCAAGUAGCGUGAAGGAUGACUGCCCUAUGGGUUGUAAACUUCUUUUAUAAAGGAAUAAAGUCGGGUAUGCAUACCCGUUUGCAUGUACUUUAUGAAUAAGGAUCGGCUAACUCCGUGCCAGCAGCCGCGGUAAUACGGAGGAUCCGAGCGUUAUCCGGAUUUAUUGGGUUUAAAGGGAGCGUAGAUGGAUGUUUAAGUCAGUUGUGAAAGUUUGCGGCUCAACCGUAAAAUUGCAGUUGAUACUGGAUAUCUUGAGUGCAGUUGAGGCAGGCGGAAUUCGUGGUGUAGCGGUGAAAUGCUUAGAUAUCACGAAGAACUCCGAUUGCGAAGGCAGCCUGCUAAGCUGCAACUGACAUUGAGGCUCGAAAGUGUGGGUAUCAAACAGGAUUAGAUACCCUGGUAGUCCACACGGUAAACGAUGAAUACUCGCUGUUUGCGAUAUACUGCAAGCGGCCAAGCGAAAGCGUUAAGUAUUCCACCUGGGGAGUACGCCGGCAACGGUGAAACUCAAAGGAAUUGACGGGGGCCCGCACAAGCGGAGGAACAUGUGGUUUAAUUCGAUGAUACGCGAGGAACCUUACCCGGGCUUAAAUUGCAGAUGAAUUACGGUGAAAGCCGUAAGCCGCAAGGCAUCUGUGAAGGUGCUGCAUGGUUGUCGUCAGCUCGUGCCGUGAGGUGUCGGCUUAAGUGCCAUAACGAGCGCAACCCUUGUUGUCAGUUACUAACAGGUUCUGCUGAGGACUCUGACAAGACUGCCAUCGUAAGAUGUGAGGAAGGUGGGGAUGACGUCAAAUCAGCACGGCCCUUACGUCCGGGGCUACACACGUGUUACAAUGGGGGGUACAGAGGGCCGCUACCACGCGAGUGGAUGCCAAUCCCAAAAACCUCUCUCAGUUCGGACUGGAGUCUGCAACCCGACUCCACGAAGCUGGAUUCGCUAGUAAUCGCGCAUCAGCCACGGCGCGGUGAAUACGUUCCCGGGCCUUGUACACACCGCCCGUCAAGCCAUGGGAGCCGGGGGUACCUGAAGUGCGUAACCGCGAGGAGCGCCCUAGGGUAAAACUGGU